CGCAGGUGCAGAGCUGUGCGGGCAUCUGCAGUCUUCACACACCGCGUAAAUUGAACAAAGUGCCAAGUGAUUUCUUUCGUCAAUUAUCUUAAGGAAUGAACGUUGGGCUCAGGAAAACUUAAAGAGAACAUGGAAUAACGUUUCACAAGGAGCCGGUGAGUGAAGAAAAUUUUUUACCAGUGACUUUAACCUGUUUACUUCAAACACUGAAAUGCAGCGGGUUCCUCUCUGGCCUUAUAGCCAUUUACAGAUUCACAAGUCGCAUCAGCCUUAUUUUACAAGCCAUUAACAAGGACAGUAGACUAACUUCGACCAUUACUUUGUUUAUCCUGAUGGAAAUGGAAGAAAUUAAGGCGAAAUAAGGUUGUACUGAAAUAAAUUUUGAUAUUACAAAUUCUUGGAAUAGUGUAAAAUUUUAAAGCCCAAUCACAAUAUUCACUAUAAGGUCAUGACUGUUCCCAAUAUCUGGAAUAACAAAAACACAUUUUAUUAAAUAAUAUUAAAUGUAAUGCUUAUAGACGCUCCAGUAAUGACUAACUCGUUUUAAUGAUCAUUCUAAAAUAUUCUUAAUUAUUGGUCUUGGAAAAUGGUCAUUUGUAAUUGUAGUCUAUUGUUUACAACCUUUUACUGUUUACUGUCACUUAACAUACCACAUUUAAAAAUUAUUUCCAAUUAUGCACGCUCCGGACAGUCUAUCAAAUAGUUGUUUAUAGAAUUCAAGCAGAAACUUGGAUUAUAUCAAUGACAAUAGCUUUAAGUACUAUUUAGCUGGGUUAAAUUUGCAUCAAUCUUUUAUUUAUUUUUUCUGGCCAUCUCAUGACUCGUUUAUGGUGGUCAGGACAUAAGUGGUGUUACCAAGUUUAUACAAUGUACUUGGCAUACCUAUUUAAUUAAUAGAAUUAGGAAGUUUCUGUGUGCAAAUGGAAUGGUGUACAUGGUUAAUGUUAUGUGAAAUUUCCUGUUGCAUAAGAAAACCAUGUCUAUGGUUUCUUUGUAUGUAGAUGAAACGUCAUCAUUAAAAAAAACUAAAU